UUAGUCGCUGGGUAUAGACCCGAAACCGGGCGAUCUAUCCAUGAGCAGGUUGAAGGUUAGGUAACACUGACUGGAGGACCGAACCCACUCCCGUUGAAAAGGUAGGGGAUGACUUGUGGAUCGGAGUGAAAGGCUAAUCAAGCUCGGAGAUAGCUGGUUCUCCUCGAAAGCUAUUUAGGUAGCGCCUCAUGUAUCACUCUGGGGGGUAGAGCACUGUUUCGGCUAGGGGGUCAUCCCGACUUACCAAACCGAUGCAAACUCCGAAUACCCAGAAGUGCCGAGCAUGGGAGACACACGGCGGGUGCUAACGUCCGUCGUGAAAAGGGAAACAACCCAGACCGCCAGCUAAGGUCCCAAAGUUGUGGUUAAGUGGUAAACGAUGUGGGAAGGCUUAGACAGCUAGGAGGUUGGCUUAGAAGCAGCCAUCCUUUAAAGAAAGCGUAAUAGCUCACUAGUCGAGUCGGCCUGCGCGGAAGAUGUAACGGGGCUCAAACCACACACCGAAGCUGCGGGUGUCACGUAAGUGACGCGGUAGAGGAGCGUUCUGUAAGCCUGUGAAGGUGAGUUGAGAAGCUUGCUGGAGGUAUCAGAAGUGCGAAUGCUGACAUGAGUAACGACAAUGGGUGUGAAAAACACCCACGCCGAAAGACCAAGGGUUCCUGCGCAACGUUAAUCGACGCAGGGUUAGUCGGUUCCUAAGGCGAGGCUGAAAAGCGUAGUCGAUGGGAAACAGGUUAAUAUUCCUGUACUUCUGGUUACUGCGAUGGAGGGACGGAGAAGGCUAGGCCAGCUUGGCGUUGGUUGUCCAAGUUUAAGGUGGUAGGCUGAAAUCUUAGGUAAAUCCGGGGUUUCAAGGCCGAGAGCUGAUGACGAGUCGUCUUUUAGAUGACGAAGUGGUUGAUGCCAUGCUUCCAAGAAAAGCUUCUAAGCUUCAGGUAACCAGGAACCGUACCCCAAACCGACACAGGUGGUCGGGUAGAGAAUACCAAGGCGCUUGAGAGAACUCGGGUGAAGGAACUAGGCAAAAUGGCACCGUAACUUCGGGAGAAGGUGCGCCGGCUAGGGUGAAGGAUUUACUCCGUAAGCUCUGGCUGGUCGAAGAUACCAGGCCGCUGCGACUGUUUAUUAAAAACACAGCACUCUGCAAACACGAAAGUGGACGUAUAGGGUGUGACGCCUGCCCGGUGCCGGAAGGUUAAUUGAUGGGGUUAGCGCAAGCGAAGCUCUUGAUCGAAGCCCCGGUAAACGGCGGCCGUAACUAUAACGGUCCUAAGGUAGCGAAAUUCCUUGUCGGGUAAGUUCCGACCUGCACGAAUGGCGUAACGAUGGCGGCGCUGUCUCCACCCGAGACUCAGUGAAAUUGAAAUCGCUGUGAAGAUGCAGUGUAUCCGCGGCUAGACGGAAAGACCCCGUGAACCUUUACUGUAGCUUUGCACUGGACUUUGAGCCUGCUUGUGUAGGAUAGGUGGGAGGCUUUGAAGCGUGGACGCCAGUUCGCGUGGAGCCAUCCUUGAAAUACCACCCUGGCAUGCUUGAGGUUCUAACUCUGGUCCGUAAUCCGGAUCGAGGACAGUGUAUGGUGGGCAGUUUGACUGGGGCGGUCUCCUCCUAAAGAGUAACGGAGGAGUACGAAGGUGCGCUCAGACCGGUCGGAAAUCGGUCGCAGAGUAUAAAGGCAAAAGCGCGCUUGACUGCGAGACAGACACGUCGAGCAGGUACGAAAGUAGGUCUUAGUGAUCCGGUGGUUCUGUAUGGAAGGGCCAUCGCUCAACGGAUAAAAGGUACUCCGGGGAUAACAGGCUGAUACCGCCCAAGAGUUCAUAUCGACGGCGGUGUUUGGCACCUCGAUGUCGGCUCAUCACAUCCUGGGGCUGAAGCCGGUCCCAAGGGUAUGGCUGUUCGCCAUUUAAAGUGGUACGCGAGCUGGGUUUAGAACGUCGUGAGACAGUUCGGUCCCUAUCUGCCGUGGACGUUUGAGAUUUGAGAGGGGCUGCUCCUAGUACGAGAGGACCGGAGUGGACGAACCUCUGGUGUUCCGGUUGUCACGCCAGUGGCAUUGCCGGGUAGCUAUGUUCGGAAAAGAUAACCGCUGAAAGCAUCUAAGCGGGAAACUUGCCUCAAGAUGAGAUCUCACUGGGAACUUGAUUCCCCUGAAGGGCCGUCGAAGACUACGACGUUGAUAGGCUGGGUGUGUAAGCGUUGUGAGGCGUUGAGCUAACCAGUACUAAUUGCCCGUGAGGCUUGACCAU
rnacentral:rRNA from 1 species